AUAUCAAUAAGCGGAGGAAAAGAAACCAACAGGGAUUGCCUCAGUAACGGCGAGUGAAGCGGCAACAGCUCAAAUUUGAAAUCUGGCUCCAUUCGGGGUCCGAGUUGUAAUUUGCAGAAGAUGCUUUGGGUGCGGCCCCGGUCUAAGUUCCUUGGAACAGGGCGUCAUAGAGGGUGAGAAUCCCGUAUGUGACUAGGUGUCCGCGCCCGUGUAAAGCUCUUUCAACGAGUCGAGUUGUUUGGGAAUGCAGCUCAAAAUGGGUGGUAUAUUUCAUCUAAAGCUAAAUAUUGGCCAGAGACCGAUAGCGCACAAGUA
rnacentral:rRNA from 1 species